CUGAGCCCCUAGCAUUGCAAAAUGGGGCUAAAGCAAAUUGGAGUCAAUAGUCCCAAAUGUCGAGACCCUUCCCCAUCUCCCUGGAGGGGCAACCAAGGGAAGCAGGUGCCAAGAGAGGGAAGUGCCUUAAGAACCUAAGACAGCCCAUGUCCCCUACAGAGGUCAUCUCAGCACCUCAGAAGAUCUCUGUCUCAUCUCAGAGCCUUGGGAGCACAAGGAGUGCGGAAGGGCCUCCAGGCAAGGAGGGCGGACAAGGUGGCUGGCUCUCAGCUCCUGCCAGCCUCCUGCCCCCAACAGGAUUCCUCACAUCCCAGGCCCAGCUGGAAAAGGCGGUGAGAGUUGGAAAGAGACUGCUCAGUGAGGACUGCCCUGUCAACCUGCUUGGAUUCAUCCCAUUCACCUCCACGUUCUGCACACGGGGCAGGGGGAAGGGAGGCAGCCCAGGCAGCCAGAUAACUUGAUGAAACACACUCAAUCUGAAUCUCGCUUGAUCGUCAUGCUGACCCAGUGAGUCUGCUCAGGGUCAGGCACCCUUUCCGACUACUCACUCAGCUGCGGAUCCCCACCCGCCUGUGACUCCCAGCGUCUUUCGGCUCCAACGUAAGUUCACCGAACGUCUAAGAGCUGAGGAUUCAAAGGCAUAUAAGACCGCCCGUGCCCUCAGCUAAAAGACCUGCCCGCGAUCCUACGAGCCCCGCUCCGCCCUCUUUCCCUGACCUUGGUCCCCCAUGGUCCCUACAACCAAGUCCUCGACUGACACCUUGACCAGCGAACACAGCAAACAGGCCCGCAGAUGCCGCAGGUCCUUCGGCACUGUCUCCAGGGCCAUCUUCUCCGAUGGGAAGAGCAACAGGGAGAUACACGGCCACAGCCUGCGCAACCGCAGGAAGUAAACACCUCGUUACCCAGAAUGCCCGCCACUUCUGGCGCUCAGACUUCCUCUUCCGGUGUGGGCGGGCGCCUGCUCCGCCCCUACCCCUGCCAGAGGAGAUGGUUUCUCCCACCGGCAGGCGGGGAGGCGGGGCGGUCGGCCUCCACCUGGGCCGGGGCGCGUCCCCGCCACCUGAGCCCGCCGAGGGCGCGGCGGAGGCUGUGUAGGGUAGUUAGCGGGCCCUCGAGGGGCGGGGUUGGGGUGGGCGGCUGCGCUUGCGCGGGAGUGCGUCGGCCUGAGCCGCAGCGCCGCGACGCGGGCCGUUUGAUCUGGGCUGCUGGCACUGGGGCGCGCUGGUCCCGUUCCCGGUGCUGAACCGAAAUUUGUUUUUUUUGUUUUGUUUUGUCUUCCCGUUUUAGAAGCACUGGGGGCAGUGAAUCCACUGUCUCCCUUUGGAUUAUCUCUGCAGAGACCCAUAACAAAUCCAGGGACAGCCCCACCCCUCCUUCCUAACUGCCAGAGCCCUAUAGGGUUUCCACUUGCUUCCCACAGGAAUGCUGGCCUGCGAGCUACGGCGGAAAACAUGCGUAUUUAUCUUUUAAAACUCCGUCUGUUUGCUCGUUCCGGCUGAUAAUUUAUACUUUGCGCAGUUCUUAGCACUUAGACACGUUUCCUUUACUAAAGAACAUUUGUAGGAGAUUAGGUGUCCUUUUUUUCUCUUUCAUUUCACCGUAUAGGAAGCGAAAUGCCUUGUUCUACAGGCACCAACCACCACCCCUACCAAACCUUUUUCAGGGAAGCAGAAGGGGAACUUGUGCCGUGUGAGGAAGCGACAGAGGCCCCUUCUGGCCCUGGGGACUUCAUGCCAACGGAGCACCAGCUCUCUCUGUCCUCGCCAUAGCCCGAGUGCAGGCAGAACGCAGUCAUUUGUGUUUAUCUGAGAGGAGCUUUGGGAUAUAAAUAGUUUCAGGCCCCGCUGUUCUAUCCUUCCAGCCCAGCCUCCUGAUUGAAACUGAGCUGCUUCCGGGCAGGCUUGCUUCUUGUUGCCGGUCCCAUGCUGUGUUCAGAUGGGCUCUGUGACAGGUUUGGAUGUUUUCUAUCAUUGAAUAAAACUUUACACUUUGGAACAUGUUUUCUGUACUCGAUUAUCUCAUGUAAGUCCUGCAACAACCAUGAAGUAGGCCCAUUUUAUGGACUGAAAAAGCGAGGCACAGAGUAUUUGCCCAAGGUCUAAGUCACUGAAGCAUCAUAAUGUGUGAAGUGAACAGUAUAAUAAUUAUGACUGAAUCACAGUGAGAAUUCUAGUCAUGCUUUCUCCUUCCCUGAUCUCACUAAGUCACACUUUUAGGGGCUUACAAACCAGUUCUUAUUGCCAAGCCCUCUACUCUACCCUAUCCUUUCAUAAAUCGGAGCCUAGCCUCUGAUAACAGAAAUAAUUUAUUUCUCUUGAUGUAGAAAGAGAUGAAGUUGUUACCCUGAGUGACAGUCAUGACAAAACAAAACCACAAGACCAGACCACAUUUGUGGAUAAAUAUAUUAGCAAAUAAAUACAUUUCUCAACAUAGUGCCUGA